rnacentral:rRNA from 1 species
AGCAGCCGCGGUAAUUCCAGCUCCAAUAGCGUAUAUUAAAGUUGUUGCAGUUAAAAAGCUCGUAGUUGAAUUUCGGGAUCAAUAUGUCGGUCGUGCCUUCGGUACGUACUGGCAUCAUUGAUUUCUCCCUUCUGACGAACCAUGAUGUCAUUAAUUUGGUGUCAUGGGGAGUCAGGACUGUUACUUUGAAAAAAUUAGAGUGUUUAAAGCAGGCUCACGCUUGAAUACAUUAGCAUGGAAUAAUGAAAUAGGACGUUUGACCCUAUUUUGUUGGUUUCUAGGAUCAACGUAAUGAUUAAUAGGGAUAGUUGGGGGCAUUAGUAUUCAAUUGUCAGAGGUGAAAUUCUUGGAUUUAUUGAAGACUAACUACUGCGAAAGCAUUUGCCAAGGAUGUUUUCAUUAAUCAAGAACGAAAGUUAGGGGAUCGAAGACGAUCAGAUACCGUCGUAGUCUUAACCAUAAACUAUGCCGACUAGGGAUCGGAUGAUGUUAAUUUUUAAUGACUCAUUC